rnacentral:rRNA from 1 species
UACGUAGGGGGCAAGCGUUGUCCGGAAUCAUUGGGCGUAAAGCGCGUGUAGGCGGUUCGAUAAGUCUGCUGUGAAAGUCCAGGGCUCAACCCUGGAAUGCCGGUGGAUACUGUCGGACUAGAGUGCGGAAGAGGCGAGUGGAAUUCCCGGUGUAGCGGUGAAAUGCGCAGAUAUCGGGAGGAACACCAAUUGCGAAGGCAGCUCGCUGGGACGUUACUGACGCUGAGACGCGAAAGCGUGGGGAGCAAACAGG